UGCUCCUCACCCCUCUCCCAAAUUCAGUCAGCACACACACAAGACAGAGAAACAACCCCCAAAUUCAGUUCAAGAUUCACAAUAGCAUAGAUUAGGCUUUUUCUCUUUAAAAGUUAUUCUUUCCGUUCAUUACUCUAAAAAAACUGAUUGUACAUGUAAUAGAUUAGAACAUAUAGUAAGUGUGUGUGUGUAUAAUUGCUAUGGUUCUUUGUUCUUGAUUCAAAGGUUAACAAAUAUAGGUAGAGUGGAAAUGGAGGUAACCUUGAUAUGAGUAGGAAAUGAGUAAAUCUUGUCUCUGAACUUACAAAAGUUGGAUCAGCGAAUUCAUUAUCAAAAUUUAAGAAUGAAAAUUUUGGAUCUGAAAAAUAUAAAAGAAACUGGAAGAAUUAAUGAAGGUUUAAAUCAUUAAUCACCUUAUUCUGGAUUUGGAAACUUGGACUGAAUUGUUGAUCUUGGAAUUCCCCUUUUUNUUUUCUUUGAGACAACCGUGAAUGGGGUGAGGAGAUUAGGAAGGUGGUGUUAAGGAGAGAGAGUGGAAAUUAGCUUAAUAAGAUAGCUAAAGGCAAGUGGAUAAAAUUUGGC
rnacentral:lncRNA from 1 species